rnacentral:tRNA from 1 species
GAAAAUGUAGCUCAGAGGUAGAGCCCUCACCCUGCAUGUGAAAGGCCCUGGGUUCAACCCCCAGUACUGUAA